UGCGACUCCCCGCUCUGCCUGCAGCUCAAUGCCAGCUCCUACGGUGACCUGCCAACCACCACCGUGUCACCUACCACCACAACCGCCACCACCACCCGAGCUCCCCCCCGAAACGGGAAAGUGUGUGCAGCAUUCUCCUGUCAUGGGGACGGAUGUUUCAAAGGCAAGACGACUGUUGCUAGAUGCAUCGUGGGGCAUGACUUCUGUGAGAUGAAGAAGACCGGCUUGAAUUACAUAGCAGGAUGUAGCAGAGCCUGCAAGGCUGCCAAACCAGUCUGUGCCAGUGGGAUGAAGGCUGCCUGUUACCAGGAGUGCUGCGCAGCCAGCCUGAAAGCUAGCUGUCUGAAACUGGAUGGCAAAGUUCACGUCAAUAGCGCUGGGCAAGCCGCUCUGGCCCCAGUCUUGAAGCUCAUGGCAUGUGGGGUGGUCCUGCUCCUCAAUUACAGGGUCUCAGUUUCUCUCCGGGGGUAAGCAGUAGGCUGGGUGCUCCGCAGCCUGCCCUCCUGCAGCGGAGCUCCGCAGCGCUCGUUAGGAUCCUCGUUGCUUCCUGACUUCAGCCAAGGCCGCUACCGAAUGCCCUCUGUUACGUCCCUGUCCCAGGAACAAGGUGGCCCAGUUGCAGGUGGCUGCUGCUCCCCCUGUGCAGAUGCUUCCCACCCACGGGGUGACCCCAGGCCUCUG